UACAGAGACUGCAAGCGUUAUUCGGAUUCACUGGGCGUAAAGGGUGCGCAGGCGGUCGGGUGUGUCAGAUGUGAAAUCCCGAGGCUCAACCUCGGAACUGCGUCUGAAACUACUCGACUAGAGUACUGGAGAGGGUAACGGAAUUCACGGUGUAGCAGUGAAAUGCGUAGAUAUCGUGAGGAACACCAGAGGCGAAGGCGGUUACCUGGACAGUUACUGACGCUCAGGCAGGAAAGCAUGGGGAGCAAAAGGG
rnacentral:rRNA from 1 species